ensembl:antisense Dmrta2os doublesex and mab-3 related transcription factor like family A2, opposite strand
GGCUUCCUUCUGACCGUGACCGUGUGCUUCCACGUCCGACGGGCUCCGAGGUAGUUGAGAGCCGGUUUGCUCCCUUCCCCCGCCCUCUAUCACCUUUAAUGCUUAGUUUCUUCGUUUGCAAAGUCCUGACACCGUGGGCGUCACGGAGUGCCAAAGUAAAAAGCCGCCUUUGCGACUCCCCAGAUCCUCUGGAGGCUGGAGGAACCGGCCAGACGGUCAGACCCAUCAGCCCACAAGACUUCCGCAGGGGGCGAGGGCACUGGACCUGCUUUGACUUGGCCUUCCUCGACCCGUGCUGACGUCACGGCCCGAGAACCCCCUUGGGUCUGCGGAGGAGGUAACAAGUUCGAAUUUUGUAUCUCUUCCUAGUUAUUCCCAUCUGUUACUGAUGUUUAAAUCCUUGGACUGUGUCACCCUCCAGCUCGGACUUUUCCUUUGCCUUUGAGGCUAACAUUCUGUUACUCUCAUUUUUGCUUUCUACUUUUCUCCUUCAGAGUAAAGAAAAUUCGUUUAAAUG